AGCUGCUUUCCUCAUUUUUUUCAAUUGGUUAGUACUUUAGAGAUCUUAGGAAUAAAUUUUUUUUGUUGAAUUUACAACUCGAUAAAUCCAAAAAGUAAAAACCCCUUGAUGUUCAAAUGAAAAUAGAGUUUUUUUUAGGAAAAAGUGUAAUGAAUUUCAGACUUAACCAUAAACAAUUUCAAUUUAUAAGAGUCUAUCAAAAUUAUGAAUGAAAACGAUGAAUUACAAACCAAUUUGAAGAAGUGGGGUAUGUACCUGUCUUUUGAAGAUAGUUGAAGAUCUUUUAAAAUGUACAAGAUUGAAAGAUUUCUAUCAAUGGCCUUCGACUAUUUCAACGACUUUGGAAAAACUUCGUACAAAAUUUCAUGAAGAAUUACAGAAAUACUCAACAUUUCAGUGACAGCACAUUCAAUCAAGAGAUUUUGCAUGUGUAAAAAUGGUCUCAAUGAUUUAUUAUAACAACGUAGUGGCUUUGAAAUAUUUUUAUUUUACAUAUAAUGGGGUGGGAAAUAGAGAGUUUACUAAAAUUGGAUAAGACUUGAUGACACACAAUUUAUGAUUUGUCUAUUUCGUAAUUUUAUCAUAUAGAAUAGUUGCCAUUAUAAGUGAAAAGUGGUAAAAAAACAUUUCAAAAGCCACUAUAAUUGAAUGCUUCGUUCGAAAUUUCAUGUUGUCAGAAACAGAACAUAGAAAAAAAAAAUUUAAUAUGUCGGCACAGCAGAUUGGAUCAUGUUAAGAUAUUGAACGUAGAUGUCUAAUAACAAUUUCAUGAAAAUUGAUUGAAAAUUUCAU